rnacentral:rRNA from 1 species
UACGAAGGGGGCUAGCGUUGUUCGGAAUUACUGGGCGUAAAGCGCACGUAGGCGGAUCGAUCAGUCAGGGGUGGAAUCCCAGAGCUCAACUCUGGAACUGCCUUCGAUACUGCGGGUCUCGAGUCCGGGAGAGGUGAGUGGAAUUCCUAGUGUAGAGGUGAAAUUCGUAGAUAUUAGGAAGAACACCAGUGGCGAAGGCGGCUCACUGGCCCGGUACUGACGCUGAGACGCGAAAGCGUGGGUAGCAAACAGG